GACUGGGAAGUCUACACCAUGUUGAUUAGUAACCUUUACUAGAAGUGACCUCUGGGGCUGACGUGUGGCUUGGUGGUAGAGAACUUGUCUAGCAUGUGCAAAGCCAUAAGUUCAAUCCACAGUAUUACCAACAAGGCUGGGGAUCGAACCCAGGACCUUGUGCUUCCUAGGCAAGCGCUCUACCACGAGCCAAAUCCCCAAUCCCUGAUUUUAAGUCUUUCUUAAGCUGGAAUGGAGAACUAAGUGUUCUGUUUAACUGA